GGACUGCCGGCCUCCAAACGAAAGGGGGGCGGGGGUGUUGUCGACGGAAUCUUGGCGGCUCCAUUCCCGUCCGCGUCCCCCCUCCAAGUCCAGCCGGCGACUGGACGACUCAGGUACUUCUGUGGCACACUGCCGCAGCGGCAGCCGCGCGGCGCUUCUGGCUCGCGAGCAUGGCGUUGCUCCGGCUAAUCAAGGCGUCUGCAUGCAACGGAACGAAGAGCCCGGCGUCAGCAAAAACACGCGCCGUUUUGGACACUCGAUGGAAUCUAUCUAUAGCGACGACGAGACGGGUUUUUGGCUAACCGUGAUCGAGAACGAAGCCGCCAGGGUAGUAGCGAGGCUGGGCGCCGAGGUCUUCGAGCCUGAGGUUGAGGGCCUGGACGACGCGAGCGGGGACAAGGACCGUCGAGCACGCCCCCGCCGUCUUCCUCUUGGGCUCCGCCGCGGGCGCGCCGGCCGGCCUCGGGAGGAACACCCCGGUGCCGUUACGCUCGCGCUUGGCGCCAGGCGGGGUCAGGAACACGGCGCGCAUGCCGGAGGCAGGAUGCGCCGGCGCCUGGUGCUGCUGCGGCGGCGGCGGUGGCGGUGGCUUCUGGAGCGGAGGCCACGCCGCCGGGUUCAGGCCAAGCGGCGCGUCGCCUCCGCCGCAGCCGACGGGCUUGGCACAGGCGCUCUGGCGCGCGCUCCACGCGGCGAGAUGGCGCUGCCUCUGCAGCUUCAGCAGCUGAUGCUGCUUCAGGAGAUGGAACUGCAAACCGACGCGGUGGGGUGGGGAGCGUCAGGGCAACAGAACAAAGCGGUGGACGGUGUAACUUAAGAAUCUUGGGCGAGAGGACAAAACACGCACCUGAGCAGCCUGCAUCUGCCGCUGCGAAACCAAGUGCGCGAGCGGGUGGUAGUGACCGCCGGCGCCGGCAGGGACCUUGGCGGAGGGCGGAGCGAUCUGCGGCGGCGGCGGCGGCGGCGGGGAUGGCUUGCUGAAGGCGUAUGCGUUGGCCGGCACCUGCACCGGCACGCUGCUGGCGGCGCGGAUGCGCGCGACCUGCCCCGCCGCCUCGUACAGGACGUCCCACGGGUCGGCCGGCUUCUGCUCCAGAGGCGGCGACGACGGCGGCGACGUCCCCUUGGACGCCCCGCCGUUGGGGCUCUCCUGGCCCGACUUGGGCAGCCCGCACAGCGUCGACUGCGGCGACCCAAUCACCGCCACCUCCGCCUGCUGCCGCACAACAAGAAGGCAGGGUCAGAAAUUCCGCCACGCGACGCGACACGCAGACGCAGCGCAGCGCAGCGCAGCGCAGCAGAGCAGAGCGACCCGGUGCAUGCAGAGAGAAGAGAAGCAACCUUGGCGGUAGGCGGCUUCCGCUCCCCGUCGUCGCCGAGGAGGCCCGCGAGCCUGCGCGAGAGCCCCGCCAGGCUGUCCUCCUCGUCGCUCUCGCUCCUGGCCGCCACGGCCGCCUUCUCCUCCUCGGAGAAGAAGUCGUCGUCCAGGAACUCCUCCGGCAGCCAGAACUCGUCCCCGAGGUCCGAACACUCCGUCGACAUUUUUCCGCCGGUGGUGGGGAGCAGCGCCCGGGACCUGCAGCGGCGGGGGUGGACGGGCUGGAGAAGGCGGCGUGCUUAUCAGCGAAAAGAGGUGGGACGGGCGAGAAAGAGAGUGUGAGGCCGGAGGGAGAAUGUCGAUGGACGGCGAGGGGCUGUGUUAAAUACGGCCGAGGCCGAGGCCGACGCUUUGGGCUCUGCUCUUAUAUAAAAAAAAAAAGGAGGAGAAGAAUUGAAUAGUUCGGCCCGGGAAUCAUUUUUUCUUUUCCAGCCGUUUUUCGCCGGUGCAAUUCGUCGGCGUGGGGCUCACAGUCCAGUCUGAGACACGCCGUAGCAAGCAAGCGAGCAAGCUCCCGCGUCGCCCGCCAAAUGCCUCUCGCCCCGUUGUUUUAUUGCGCGUAUUUCUU
rnacentral:misc_RNA from 1 species